UGGGGAAUAUUGGACAAUGGGCGAAAGCCUGAUCCAGCGAUGCCGCGUGAGUGAUGAAGGCCCUAGGGUUGUAAAGCUCUUUUACCCGGGAUGAUAAUGACAGUACCGGGAGAAUAAGCUCCGGCUAACUUCGUGCCAGCAGCCGCGGUAAUACGAGGGGAGCUAGCGUUGUUCGGAAUUACUGGGCGUAAAGCGCGCGUAGGCGGUUUUUUAAGUCAGAGGUGAAAGCCCGGGGCUCAACCCCGGAAUUGCCUUUGAAACUGGAAAACUAGAAUCUUGGAGAGGUCAGUGGAAUUCCGAGUGUAGAGGUGAAAUUCGUAGAUAUUCGGAAGAACACCAGUGGCGAAGGCGACUGACUGGACAAGUAUUGACGCUGAGGUGCGAAAGCGUGGGGAGCAAACA
rnacentral:rRNA from 1 species